rnacentral:rRNA from 1 species
GACGAACGCUGGCGGCAGGCCUAACACAUGCAAGUCGAACGCCGUAGCAAUACGGAGUGGCAGACGGGUGAGUAACGCGUGGGAACAUACCCUCCGGUUCGGAAUAACUCAGGGAAACGUUGAGCUAAUACCGGAUACGUCCAAGGUUUUAAUCGGCCUUGGAGAAAGAUUUAUCGCUGGAGGAUUGGCCCGCGUCUGAUUAGCUUGUUGGUGAGGUAAUGGCUCACCAAGGCGACGAUCAGUAGCUGGUCUGAGAGGAUGAUCAGCCACAUUGGGACUGAGACACGGCCCAAACUCCUACGGGAGGCAGCAGUGGGGAAUAUUGGACAAUGGGCGAAAGCCUGAUCCAGCCAUGCCGCGUGAGUGAUGAAGGCCUUUAGGGUUGUAAAGCUCUUUUACCCGGGAAGAUAAUGACGGUACCGGGAGAAUAAGCCCCGGCUAACUUCGUGCCAGCCGCCGCCGUAAG